rnacentral:rRNA from 1 species
AGGACGAACGCUGGCGGCGCGCUUAAUACAUGCAAGUCGAGCGAGAACCAGGGCUUCGGCUCUGGGGACAGCGGCGAACGGGUGAGUAACACGUGGGUAAUCAACCCCCGACACCGGGAUAGCCCAGGGAAACUUGGAUUAAUACCGGAUGCUCCGUCUGGCCUUCGGGCCGGCCGGAAAAGGGUAGCUUCGGCCUCCGGUCGGGGACGAGCCCGCGGCGGAUUAGCUUGUUGGUGAGGUAAAAGGCUCACCAAGGCGACGAUCCGUAGC